CCUCUUCAUGGGUGUCAUUACACUUUUCUCUCAGUUGCCAGCCUCUGAUUCCUCUGUCUGCUUCCCUUCCCUCUCUGCUCUUACAUAUAUCCCCUCUGUUUCUCUCCCCCCUAAAAGUCUCUUCCUUCCAUCUUAUCUUCUUCCAAGUUUCAUGACAUACAUAAUCACACAUACAUACAUUUACAUAUUUAUAAGCAUGUAUAUAUAAUUUUAAAUCUUAUUUCCUUGUAUUAGAUCAAACAUCCUGUAUCACCUUCCUGUAUCUAGCUUAUAUUUCUAGUUCUACCCAUUUUCCUACAAGUUUCGUAAUUUCAAUUUUAUGGAUUCGUAGAAUUCCACUUUGUGUAUGCAUCACAGUUUCUUUCUUCACUUCUCUCUUGAUGUCCAUGAAGACAGGUUCCAUUCCCUGGUUAUUGGGCACAGUGCAAGUAAUCCAUAAACGUGGAUAUGCAAGUGUCUCUGGAAUGUGUUGACUUAAAGUCUUUCAGGUUUGUAACUGAAUGGUGUAACUGGUGAAUAAGUGCUUCUGUUUUAAGUUUUGGGGUUUGCACAGUGGCUGCACAAGUUUACGUGUCCACUAGCAUAGAAUAUCGUCACAAUUCACUUCCUGGCUGACAGCCAUUGUAAUUGGGGUAGGAUGGAAUCUCAAAAAAAAAAAAAAGUUUAAAUUUGUACUUCCAUGAUGGCUAAGGAUGCUGAGUACUUUGAAAAGAAAAUUCAAAAGAUGUAUUUUAUUAUUUAUUUAUUUGUGUGUGUGUGUGUGUAGGUCAGAGCACAGCCUGGGAGGUAGGCUAUACCUUCCUCCUUGUGUAAAACAGAGUCUCUUGUUGAUUGUGGCUAUACACACCUGGAUGUACACACCUAGUUUUGUACACCUGGCUAUACACACUUGGGUGUACACACCUGGGUGUACGCAUCCGGCUAACUGACCCAUGGACUGCCAGGCAUUCUUCUGUCCCUGUCUCUCAUCUCUCUGUAGAAGUGUUAGGAAUACAGCUGUGGAUACUGUGUCUGACUUGAUAUACAUUCUAGGGAUCUGAACUCCUGUCCUUCUAUUUGAGCAGCAAUGGUUUUACCCACUGAGCCAUCUCCUAACCUUUCAAUGAGUUUUCAAAAAGAAAGAUUACUUAUAAAAAAUACAUUCCCAUGAAUUGAUCAUUUUUUAAAUGUCUCUGAUACAACCUAAUCCAGGCUGUUCUG
rnacentral:lncRNA from 1 species